GACGAGCAGAUUUGAGCUUUUUUGGCCUGUGGGCAUAUGAUACUUUGUGGGCACUGGCUAUGGCAGCAGAAAGAGUUGGACUGAAAGAGCCACCGAAAACUUUAGAUAAUUCAACUGUUAAUCUCAAUGUUUCAGACCUUUUAAAUUUUGGGAACUCAGAAGUCGGUCCAAAACUUCUAAAAGCACCACCCAAAACUUUAGAAAAUUCAACUGUUAAUCUCAAUGUUUCAGACCUUUUCAAUUUUGGGAAAUCAGAAGUCGGCCCAAAACUUCUAAAAGCAAUAUCAGAGACCAAAUUUGAAGGGCUUUCAGGGAAGUUCCGCCUUAUAGAUGGCAAGAUGGAGUCGUCAUCCUAUCAGAUAAUUAAUAUGGU
rnacentral:lncRNA from 1 species